CGGCCCUUAAAGUUGGGAAUCGACCUCUAGUAGUAGCGUACAAAAUAUGCAAAAGGUAAAGAGUCACCGUUAGUGGAAAUUGGAAAGAGAGACUCACUCCUAAACCGUCCCCACCGUCCAGCGAAAGAUCAUGCCACGGCCAGUGGCUGGUCCUGCAAAGACUUCCAAGUUUCAAACUGCAAAGUGCCAGCCACCCAAAGCCCACAAAAAUAAUCCACAGAACCAAUAAGUAGCCCUCCUAACACUGCAUAAUAAUCAAUAAUCUACUAGAGCCUACAAGAAAGGAACCAUUCUUGUAAUAUUUUACACACUAAAAACCAAUUUAUAGUGCAUAAAUCCCAGAUUUCUAUGUAGAAAACCUGUGCUUAAUUGCAUGAGUGUCAAGGGACAAUCCCUGGUUAUCAAGGAUAAUGUUUAUGUUGUUGCUUCUGCUUCUUAAUUAAACUAUAGUAAUAUUGCUUUUCGAGUUUCGUGAAUUCUGUACAUUUUGUCUGUGUGUCUUUUUGAUUCCUUUGAUGAAACCCAACCUUAUUUCAUGGAGGUUCAAAGCACUAGAUUUUGGUAAGUGCUUUUGCAAUCUAUUUUGUCCCCUAGAUAGGUUCUUACUUGCUCUUUUUGUUUGUGUAUAAAAGAAGUUUGUUCGGAAGGAAGUUAUGGCCGUCUGGGUUUGUUUAGUGGGCAUGGAACCUUUGAGAUUGAAAGGAAUCACUGUAGUCACUGAAGUUUUGAUGCGAUAGAUCGAUUGAUCAUACAAGAAAUAGCCCAAGGAAGAGAGAGUUCCUGAUUCGAUUGUAAUAUUGGGAUACAAAUUGAAGCAAUGAAUAGUGGGUUUUAUUCUGGUUGGAAGCAUGGUUCUUUGCUGGAUUUUUUGGAGGAAGACCAACAGCUGAAACCGGUGGUAUCGCUUCCAGCAAUCCCUCAACCACAAACCCCAAAAGAGCCUAUGGAGUUCUUAUCUAGAUCUUGGAGUCUUUCCGCUUCAGAAAUUUCAAAAGCUCUGGCUCAGAAACAGAGACAAUUUUUCACUGACAACCAACCCAGUAUGUUCCCAGCAGAUACAGUUGCAGCACCACAGUUAACAAGGAAGAUAAUAAAUUCGUUAAAUUCAAGAAAGACAGGAGCAAUGGGAAAGUGGUUCCACCACAAGGAGCUUAGCAGCAGCACAGUGAAGAAGAAAGAUAAGGCACGCAUGGAAAAUGCGCGUAUGCAUUCUGCUAUAUCAGUUGCUGGACUAGCUGCAGCCUUGGCUGCUGUGGCAGCCGAAGGAAACUCUAGUGACUCUGGCUCUAAAAUGAGUAUGGCUUUGGCCUCAGCUACAGAACUCUUGGCAUCACAUUGCAUAGAAUUAGCAGAAUCAGCCGGAGCGGAUCAUGAUCGUGUGGCUUCUGUUGUGAGAUCAGCUGUAGACAUUCAGAGUCCAGGUGAUCUAAUGACCCUUACUGCAGCAGCUGCAACAGCUUUGAGGGGAGAAGCAGCACUAAAAGCAAGGUUGCCGAAAGAAGCAAGAAAAAAUGCAUCUAUAAGUCCUUACGAGAGAGGAAUGGCAGAAACUCAUUGGGGUUCUGCUAACAUUGGUGAAGUAGCAGAACAGGCUCCCUGCGUUGGAGAAGUAUUGCAACACACAAGAAAAGGAGUGUUGCGAUGGAAACACAUUUCGGUCUACAUCAACAAGAAAUUACAGGUCAUAAUUAAGAUCAAAAGCAAACACGUUGGAGGAGCCUUCUCCAAGAAGCACAAAUGCGUUGUUUAUGGGGUCUGCGAUGAGACUACAGCAUGGCCAUAUAGAAAAGAAAGGGAAAAUUCUGAAGAAGUAUAUUUUGGCCUUAAAACUGCGCAGGGUCUUCUAGAGUUCAAGUGCAAGAGCAAGAUCCAUAAGCAAAGAUGGGUUGAUCGGAUUCAAAAUCUUCUUCAUCAAGUCAACUGUGUUGAAGAAACUGAACGUUCUCUGGAAUUUCUAAGCUUAAGCAAUAGCGUAUAGCGUGAUUCAUUUUUUUCCAAGACCGGGAAUAGGGACACAUUAACGUUUACUAAGGAUCUAUAAUAUGUCAACACGGUCUACGUAUGAAAAGUUUCUUCCCCUUUACACAUAUAAUAUAAGGAAUUAAACCCAAUAUUUGAUCUUAUGUGUUGUUACUGGAAAAUGGAAUUUGUCCUCUAGCAUCAGAUUGCCAUUUUGGGCUUUUGGAGGAAGCCCCUGGUGCAAAAAUUUAGCAUACCAGAAGAAUAACAAUCAAAUCAUAAUGGACCUCACAGCAAUAGCAUACUGCAUAUUCAUGUGUCGAUUUCAGUUUCAAUCAAAGCAAACUCACCCGCUAGUCAAUUGGUGUGUAAAUACACAUUAUUGUCUAUAAGGCAGUCUGUUAUAUUACAAAUUUCUUUAACACAAAACGAACUGCACAAACCCUUAAUUCAAUUGCUGGGUUUUUAUGCAUUGUAAGAUGAAUGUAUAGUUGCUAUCCG
rnacentral:misc_RNA from 1 species